rnacentral:lncRNA from 1 species
ACAUCAGGAAGGUCAUAACGGGUCUAACAUGUCUCCUGAGUCCUAAUUUUCAGCAAGGAUUUUACUUCCUGGGAUGCUUGUAUAAGCAUAAUUCUUUGAGGUUUAAGACCAAGAAAUAAGAUGCAGCAUUGCCAUUUUUUAAUGGAAUAUUCUCUCACUGCAGUAAGACAUCCUUUAUUGCCUUGCUAAAAUUCUUAGUGUGGAACUUCCAGUACAACAUGGGAAUUCAUAAAGCCGAAAAAAUGUGGUUGUACAACGACUCUCAUGGAGUGCCGAGAUGCUCCAGCCUCAUACCUGGCAGUGAACAAACCUGUAAUAAAGGCCUGAAGAUCUUUUGCCUGCUCUCAAAUUAUGUGAAGUGAAUAGCUCCAACAGCUGGAAGAGGAACAAUGCAUAGUGGGUUUGGCAGGCUGAAGCUGGGGUGUUGAACCAG